rnacentral:rRNA from 1 species
AAAUGACGGUACCUGACUAAGAAGCCCCGGCUAACUACGUGCCAGCAGCCGCGGUAAUACGUAGGGGGCAAGCGUUAUCCGGAUUUACUGGGUGUAAAGGGAGCGUAGACGGCUGUGCAAGUCUGAAGUGAAAGGCAUGGGCUCAACCUGUGGACUGCUUUGGAAACUGUGCAGCUAGAGUGUCGGAGAGGUAAGUGGAAUUCCUAGUGUAGCGGUGAAAUGCGUAGAUAUUAGGAGGAACACCAGUGGCGAAGGCGGCUUACUGGACGAUGACUGACGUUGAGGCUCGAAAGCGUGGGGAGCAAACAGGAUUAGAUACCCUGGUAGUCCACGCCGUAAACGGUGACUGCUAGGUGUCGGGUAGCAAAGCUAUUCGGUGCCGCAGCUAACGCAAUAAGCAGUCCACCUGGGGAGUACGUUCGCAAGAAUGAAACUCAAAG